CAGUCGCCGCGGGAAUACGUAGGGGGCGAGCGUUGUCCGAAGUUACUGGGCGUAAAGCGCGCGUAGGCGGCUUCUUAAGUCUGAGGUGAAAGGUUCAACGCUUAACGUGAACAGUGCCUUGGAUACUGGGGAGCUUGAGUAUGGGAGAGGGCAGUGGAAUGGCUGGUGUAGCGGUGAAAUGCGUAGAUAUCAGUCGGAACACCCAUGGCGAAGGCAGCUGCCUGGCCUAAUACUGACGCUGAGGUGCGAAAGCGUGGGGAGCGAACGGGAUUAGAUACCCCUGUAGUCCCUGUCUCUUAUA
rnacentral:rRNA from 1 species